rnacentral:rRNA from 1 species
AUGAUCCCUGCAAACAGGAGGGGAACACAGCCUAGGGCUGGGAUGGAGUACUUUGAUGCUAGGCGUAAACCACAUAAUAUUGGGAAAGUCAUUGUGGCCCUGCUCUUCAUAGCACUCUGUAUAUUUGUUCUGAAGCAAUCUCCUGGUUUUGGUGGCAAUAGUGUGUUUUCUCGUCAUGAACCUGGGGUUACCCAUGUCUUAGUGACAGGAGGAGCUGGCUAUAUUGGUUCACAUGCCUCAUUACGGCUAUUAAAAGACAACUAUCGAGUUACCAUUGUGGACAAUCUUUCUAGAGGAAAUAAAGGAGCAGUAAAGGUUCUCCAAGAAUUGUUUCCGGAGCCUGGGAGACUUCAAUUCAUCUAUGCAGAUCUUGGGGAUCAAAAAUCUGUCAACAAGAUAUUUUCUGAAAAUGCAUUUGAUGCUGUGAUGCACUUUGCGGCUGUUGCCUAUGUGGGUGAGAGUACAAUGGAACCCCUUAGGUAUUAUCACAAUAUUACAUCAAACACCUUACUGAUUUUGGAGGCUAUGGCUUCUCAUGGAGUCAAGACACUUAUUUACUCUAGUACCUGUGCAACUUAUGGAGAACCAGAGAAGAUGCCUAUAAUAGAAACCACACCUCAGUUGCCAAUUAACCCCUAUGGAAAAGCCAAGAAAAUGGCAGAGGACAUCAUACUAGAUUUCUCAAAGAGAACAGAUAUGGCUGUCAUGAUUUUAAGAUAUUUCAAUGUCAUUGGAUCAGACCCGGAGGGAAGAUUAGGUGAGGCUCCUAGGCCUGAGCUACGAGAGCAUGGAAGAAUAUCUGGAGCAUGCUUUGAUGCAGCACUAGGAGUCAUUUCAGGAUUGAAGGUUAAAGGGAUAGAUUAUCCUACAGCUGAUGGAACCUGCAUAAGAGACUACAUUGAUGUCACAGAUCUAGUAGAUGCUCAUGUGAAAGCACUCAACAAGGCAGAGCCUAGUAGAGUUGGCAUUUAUAAUGUUGGCACUGGAAGAGGCCGUUCCGUUAAGGAGUUUGUCGAUGCCUGCAAGCAGGCAACUGGGGUUGACAUCAAAAUUGAGUACCUCAGCAGGAGGCCAGGAGACUAUGCUGAAGUAUUCAGUGACCCUACCAAGAUCAACAGUGAGCUCAACUGGACUGCUCAACACACCGAUCUGAAGGAAAGCCUGUCUGUCGCAUGGAGGUGGCAAAAGUCGCAUCCGCGUGGCUAUGGGGCAAAUUAG